rnacentral:rRNA from 1 species
AUUGAACGCUGGCGGCAUGCCUUACACAUGCAAGUCGAACGGUAACAGGUCUUCGGAUGCUGACGAGUGGCGAACGGGUGAGUAAUACAUCGGAACGUGCCCGAUCGUGGGGGAUAACGCAGCGAAAGCUGUGCUAAUACCGCAUACGAUCUACGGAUGAAAGCGGGGGAUCGCAAGACCUCGCGCGGACGGAGCGGCCGAUGGCAGAUUAGGUAGUUGGUGGGAUAAAAGCUUACCAAGCCGACGAUCUGUAGCUGGUCUGAGAGGACGACCAGCCACACUGGGACUGAGACACGGCCCAGACUCCUACGGGAGGCAGCAGUGGGGAAUCUUGCACAAUGGGGGAAACCCUGAUGCAGCGACGCGCGUGAACGAUGAAGCCCUUCGGGGUGUAAAGUUCUUUCGACGGGACGAUAAUGACGGUACCGGAGAAGAAGACUGCGGCUAACUAACGUG